rnacentral:rRNA from 1 species
CAGCCGCCGCGGUAAUACGUAGGUGGCAAGCGUUGUCCGGAAUUAUUGGGCGUAAAGGGCUCGCAGGCGGUUUCCUAAGUCUGAUGUGAAAGCCCCCGGCUCAACCGGGGAGGGUCAUUGGAAACUGGGAAACUUGAGUGCAGAAGAGGAGAGUGGAAUUCCACGUGUAGCGGUGAAAUGCGUAGAGAUGUGGAGGAACACCAGUGGCGAAGGCGACUCUCUGGUCUGUAACUGACGCUGAGGAGUGAAAGCGUGGGGAGCGAACAGGAUUAGAUACCCCUGUAGUCCCUGUCUCUUAUAA